AAAUUCACAAGAUCGGUAUUAUUUUAACACCGUAAGUCUCCUGCAUAUGGAAAUUGAGUUGAAUUUUUAUUAUGUUUUAGCCUUACAUUCUCAUCCUCUGACAGCUCUUGAGUAGUUUAUUUCAGCAGUCAGCACCAUCUCACACACACUCUACGCAGGGAAGCCGAUGAAUAUAAGUGAGUGUUCCGAAAAAAAAAAGAGAAAAAAAUA
rnacentral:lncRNA from 1 species